rnacentral:piRNA from 1 species
UCAACAUCGAAACUUGCCUCUUCC